ACUCUUCUAAAGAUGUUCCUUGGCUAGGUAGUCUAAAGGUCUAAAACUCUUAAACUGAAUCAUAACUUACAUUAUUUAGGAGAAAAUUAUUUUUAAAGGUCACUGGUCUUGGCCAGAGCCGUGGCUCAAUAGGCUAAUCCUCCACCUUGUGGCGCCAGCACACCGGGUUCUAGUCCCGGUCAGGGUGCCAGAUUCUGUCCCGGUUGCCCCUCUGCCAGGCCAGCUCUCUGCUAUGGCCCUGGAGUGCAGUGGAGGAUGGCCCAAGUCCUUGGGCCCUGCACCCCAUGGGAGACCAGGAUAAGCACCUGGCUCCUGCCUUUGGAUCAGCGCAGUGCGCCAGCCACAGUGCGCCAGCCACAGUGGCCAUUAGAGGGUGAACCAAUGGCAAAGGAAGAUCUUUCUCUCUGUCUCUCUCUCUCACUGUCCACUCUGCCUGUCCAAAAACAAAAAAAGUCACUUGUCUUAAAGCUGUCAAUGUCAGAGUCCAUGUUGGACUGAAUGAAGGGCAUCUCUCACUGGUGCUCUUAAUAAGGCAUAGUUGGUGACACCAGUUUGUUUUUAGCUCCCAUCAUGGCAGUUUAUUAACAGAAAGCCAUCUGGUGAGUCAGCAACCACAACUGUCACCUUUCCUGUGGGUGCUGUGUGAGCAUCUGGGUGACAUCCUCAAUCAUACCCAAGUGGGCUGACUGGGCCCUAGGUCCAGGGGUCUUGGUUCUGUUCCUCUGUAGCCCAGAGUUUGAUGUGUAGGGUAGUGAUACCUGACUGGUUGCACCUCUGGGCCACGUUUGGCCAGCCAACAUGGAAGUAUAUGGUGAGGAUUUGUCUAGGUCAGCCUUCACCUUUGUCCCACCUGUCACUGGGCAGAUGGUUUCCUUGACAAACAGUGACAUGGACAAAGGUGUCAUUGAAGGAUGUGAAGAAGUGACAGAUACCAAAGAUACUCUCUCUUUCAGAAACCUGGUAUCCAGGCUAAUGACCUGUUCUUUUCCUUCUCUUUGUGAGGUGUUACUUCUGUGUGUCUUCUUCAGACUCUACCACUGAAAUGAGAGGACAAGGCCAAGGCCAAGACACCAGUUUUUACAAAGAGGAGUUCACUUGGGUGGCCAACAUAGGAGUGUUUUCCUUGUUCCAGAAUCUUUUGAGGCUUGUCCAACUGAACCAGAGAGAGACAUUCUCUCUCCAACCUGUGAGAGGCCUUUAUAUAAACAGGUAAAUAAAGAGGAAAAUAUUCCUGGCAAUAAGCACUGCGGGUUCUUGAAUAAGGGUAAAGGGACAAGUAGCACUGGCUAAAGACAUGCCUUUAAGCAGCCACUUCUGCAAAUUUAACUGACAUGUUGCCAUUUAUGUAGAUUGGGAGAAGAGUAAGCCAGGAAGAACUUUUUUUUUUUUUUUAGAUUUACUUAUUUUGAAAGAAUUCAAGGAUCCUAGAGGGUGUUGGGGCAGAGGUUUCUAAAAGGCUGAUUGUUAGGUAAGGAGUCUUGAAGGUGGGCUGAUGCUGUCAUGGAGCUGAUUUCUCUUUUCUAGAAGUUCUCAUGGAAGAUUGUGGCCAUAGCUUUUUCUCUUUACAGUACCAAGGUGGAUCUUGUCGCUCCCUCAUUCGUGGAGGAACGACGCCAUCCCGGGUUAGCUGCCGGCCCCUCCACCUCCGUGGAGGGGCGGCACCCCCUGCCGCUUUCCCCGCUUCUGCGGAGGAGCGGCACACCACUGGCCGGCUCUCUCGGGGGCUGCUCAGAUGUUGCUCAGAUGUUCCUCAGGUGUUCCUUCAGAUGUUCCUUCAGAUGUUCCUGGUGCAUGUUGUCUCUCUCCUCCUUUAUAGUCCUCUUCCACCAAUCCCAACUCUGCUACCCACAUGCUGAGCAUGCUGCUCUCCUCCAAUCAGGAGCAGGAUCAGCUCCUGCAGUUUAUUGGUCAAACUGGAGGCAGCUGCGCAGAAGCUGUUUACUCCUCUCCCAGCACCAUAUUGUGGGAGAGCAGAUGCAUAGAAUAAGUCUUAAUUCCAGUAACUUAGUCUAGUCUCAGUUGCUCCCCACAGAUCUCAGUCAUCUAUUUUUGUUUGUUUUAGUUGAUGGGCUUUUCUGUUUUGAUCUUUGUGAUACAUAUGGAUCUUUGUAUAACCUUUUUUGUCUGAAGAGAUGUUCCUCAGGAUUUAACUUAAUUAGCAGUUUUGUGACAUCUGUUGAUCCUUGGGAAAUGUCAGAUGUACAGAUGUUUCCCAAAAUUAACCCUACAUAGGUAACUUUGAGUAACUUAUCCUAUGUGAAGCAAGUAGAAAAAUAAGUUGUUUUUACCUUUUGAAGCUCUCAAAAUUUUCCUCUCUCUGCUUCCCUAAUUAAGCUGCAGCUGUCUCCUGCCUCAACCUGAUGCCCUGAUCCUGUCUCAUGCAGUUUUGUUCCUGUACUUUCAUUGGUAUAGUAUUAGAGUCACAAAUGCAAAUAAUGAAAUAAAGCCUUCAGAUAACCAGAAUGACCAAGGAAAA